GACGAACGCUGGCGGCGUGCUUAACACAUGCAAGUCGAACGAUGAAGCCCAGCUUGCUGGGUGGAAGAGUGGCGAACGGGUGGGUAACACGUGAGUAACCUGCCUAUCACUCUGGGAUAAGCGCUGGAAACGGCGUCUAAUACUGGAUACGACCUAUCACCGCAUGGUGUGUGGGUGGAAAGAUUUAUCGGUGGUAGAUGGACUCGCGGCCUAUCAGCUUGUUGGUGAGGUAAUGGCUCACCAAGGCGACGACGGGUAGCCGGCCUGAGAGGGUGACCGGCCACACUGGGACUGAGACACGGCUCAGACUCCUACGGGAGGCAGCAGUGGGGAAUAUUGCACAAUGGGCGCAAGCCGGAUGCAGCAACGCCGCGUGAGGGACGACGGCCUUCGGGUUGUAAACCUCUUUUAGUAGGGAAGAAGCGAAAGUGACGGUACCUGCAGAAAAAGCACCGGCUAACUACGUGCCAGCCGCCGCUGUAA
rnacentral:rRNA from 1 species